rnacentral:rRNA from 1 species
AUUGAACGCCGGCGGCAUGCUUUACACAUGCAAGUCGAACGGCAGCACGGACUUCGGUCUGGUGGCGAGUGGCGAACGGGUGAGUAAUACAUCGGAACGUACCCAGAAAUGGGGGAUAACUAUCCGAAAGGAUAGCUAAUACCGCAUACGCCCUACGGGGGAAAGAGGGGGAUCGCAAGACCUCUUGUUAUUGGAGCGGCCGAUGGCUGAUUAGCUAGUUGGUAGGGUAAAGGCCUACCAAGGCAACGAUCAGUAGCGGGUCUUAGAGGACGCUCCGCCACACUGGACCUGAGACACGGUCCAGACUCCUACGGGAGGCAGCAGAGGGGAAUCUUGGACAAUGGGCGCAAGCCUGAUCCAGCAAUGCCGCGUGCGUGAAGAAGGCCUUCGGGUUGUAAAGCGCUUUUGUCAGGGAGCAAAUCCUUGUGGCUAAUACCCACCGGGGAUGAGGGUACCUGAAGAAUAAGGACCGGCUAACUACGUGCCAGCCGCCGCCGUAAAAC